AAAAAGACAAACCAUGAGUUUCCGUGUCCAAUUUUAACUGUCCGUCUUAUAUAAAUUUUUUUUAUAAUUCGUAUUUUUAUUGUUGUUAGAUGAUAAAACAUGAUUAAUAUUUUAUGCGUAACUUGUCUUUUUAAUUUUUUUCAUAAUUUUUUCAAAUAAGACGGACGGUCAAACGUUGGGCACGGAAACCAGGGUUUGUAUUUUUU
rnacentral:pre_miRNA from 1 species